GAUGAACGCUAGCGGCAGGCUUAAUACAUGCAAGUCGUGGGGCAGCAGGUUUGUAGCAAUACAGAUGCUGGCGACCGGCAAACGGGUGCGGAACACGUACAGAACCUUCCUUUGAGCGGGGAAUAGCCCAGAGAAAUUUGGAUUAAUACCCCACAGUAUAAUGAAGUGGCAUCACUUUAUUAUUAAAGAUUUAUCACUCGAAGAUGGCUGUGCGGCUGAUUAGGUAGUUGGCGGGGUAAAGGCCCACCAAGCCUGCGAUCAGUAACUGGUGUGAGAGCACGACCAGUCACACGGGCACUGAGACACGGGCCCGACUCCUACGGGAGGCAGCAGUAAGGAAUAUUGGUCAAUGGAGGCAACUCUGAACCAGCCAUGCCGCGUGGAGGAUGAAGGUCCUCUGGAUUGUAAACUUCUUUUAUAUGGGACGAAAAAGGCUUUCUAAGUCGUCUGACGGUACCAUAUGAAUAAGCACCGGCUAACUCCGUGCCAGCAGCCG
rnacentral:rRNA from 1 species